GGAAGAGGAGACAGAAGAUCAAGCCAGUCUCUGAGUGCUGUGCUGGGCUUUUUGAGUCGCAAUGAGGAAGACGGCCCUUGUCCUUUGCCUCCUCUGCCUUCUCUCCUUGCUGCUUUCUCCAGGAGCCACAGACGAUUGCGAACUUUGCAAUGAAGAAGCUCCCCCAGAACCAUGCUAUAUAAGAAACUGCCCCCGAGGAGGAAAGAGAUCAAUCAAGAAUGAUGGUGAAGCUCAGUUACAUAAGUCGUAUAUACCCACAAAGAGGAGGAUCCGGGAGUAGCUCUCAUUUCCAUCUCCUGCCCACAAGUUCCAUCUCACAAAUGGAACCUGCCAUUUAUUCAAGAAGGACACUUUCAAGCAAUAUAUAAGCAACCUCUAAAGAACGUGAAAUGUUUACCUACUGUUUCCUUAUUAUUGUGAUUAAAAGUUUCAGCUUUUGAUGGCAA